GCAAACUUGGUCAUUUAGAGGAAGUAAAAGUCGUAACAAGGUUUCCGUAGGUGAACCUGCGGAAGGAUCAUUACGAAAUUCGCGGGGGGCGCAGACCGCAACAGGUUGCACCCCCCGCUGAAAGCGCCGGAAGGCGUCUGACAGCGCAACCCUUUGUGAAAUCCCCCCGUUGCUUCGGCAGCCCCUCCCAGGAGCGGUAAGUCUGCCGGCGGCAUUGUGGAAACUCAUCCUGAAAACCUGCACCUCUGUCUGAACAGCACAGUCGAAUGGACUAUAAAACUUUCAACAACGGAUCUCUUGGUUCCCGCAUCGAUGAAGAACGCAGC
rnacentral:misc_RNA from 1 species